rnacentral:rRNA from 1 species
ACCAUGCAGUCGAACGGCAGCACAGGAGAGCUUGCUCUCUGGGUGGCGAGUGGCGGACGGGUGAGGAAUACAUCGGAAUCUACCUUUUCGUGGGGGAUAACGUAGGGAAACUUACGCUAAUACCGCAUACGACCUUCGGGUGAAAGCAGGGGACCUUCGGGCCUUGCGCGGAUAGAUGAGCCGAUGUCGGAUUAGCUAGUUGGCGGGGUAAAGGCCCACCAAGGCGACGAUCCGUAGCUGGUCUGAGAGGAUGAUCAGCCACACUGGAACUGAGACACGGUCCAGACUCCUACGGGAGGCAGCAGUGGGGAAUAUUGGACAAUGGGCGCAAGCCUGAUCCAGCCAUACCGCGUGGGUGAAGAAGGCCUUCGGGUUGUAAAGCCCUUUUGUUGGGAAAGAAAAGCAGCCGGUUAAUACCCGGUUGUUCUGACGGUACCCAAAGAAUAAGCACCGGCUAACUUCGUGCCAGCAGCCGCGGUAAUACGAAGGGUGCAAGCGUUACUCGGAAUUACUGGGCGUAAAGCGUGCGUAGGUGGUUGUUUAAGUCUGUUGUGAAAGCCCUGGGCUCAACCUGGGAAUUGCAGUGGAUACUGGGCGACUAGAGUGUGGUAGAGGGUAGUGGAAUUCCUGGUGUAGCAGUGAAAUGCGUAGAGAUCAGGAGGAACAUCCAUGGCGAAGGCAGCUACCUGGACCAACACUGACACUGAGGCACGAAAGCGUGGGGAGCAAACAGGAUUAGAUA